rnacentral:rRNA from 1 species
AGAGUUUGAUCCUGGCUCAGGACGAACGCUGGCGGCGUGCUUAACACAUGCAAGUCGAACGAGAAAGCUACCUUCGGGUAGUAAGUAAAGUGGCGAACGGGUGAGUAACGCGUGGGUAUCUACCUUUAAGUCCGGGAUAACUUCCUGAAAGGGAAGCUAAUACUGGAUAAUCUCCUUCGGGAGCAAAGGCGGUUUUGCUGUCACUUAAAGAUGAACCUGCGUCCCAUUAGCUAGUUGGUAAGAUAACAGCUUACCAAGGCAACGAUGGGUAGCCGGCCUGAGAGGGCGAUCGGCCACACUGGGACUGAGGCACGGCCCAGACUCCUACGGGAGGCUGCAGUGGGGAAUCUUCCGCAAUGGGCGAAAGCCUGACGGAGCAACGCCGCGUGAGUGAUGAAGGCUUUCGAGUCGUAAAGCUCUGUCUUUAGGGACGAACCACUCAUUUGUGAAAGCAGGUGGGCUUGACGGUACCUAAAGAGGAAGCCCCGGCUAAUUACGUGCCAGCAGCCGCGGUAAUACGUAAGGGGCAAGCGUUGUCCGGAAUCACUGGGCGUAAAGGGUACGCAGGCGGUCUAUCCUGUCAUAGGUGAAAGCCAUCGGCUUAACCGAUGAAGUGCCUUUGAAACUGUUAGACUUGAGGACAGGAGAGGAAAGUGGAAUUCCCGGUGUAGUGGUGAAAUACGUAGAGAUCGGGAAGAAUACCAAUGGUGAAAACAGCUUUCUGGCCUGUAACUGACGCUGAGGUACUAAAGCUAGGGUAGCAAACGGGAUUAGAUACCCCGGGUAGUCCUGCCUGUAAACGCUGGACACUGAGUGUUGGGGGUCUAACCUCCUUCAGUGCUGACGCUAACGCCGCGUUAAGUGUCCCGCCUGGGGAUUACGACCGCAAGGUUGAAACUCAAAGGAAUUGACGGGGGCCCGCACAAGCGGCGGAGCAUGUGGUUUAAUUCGAUGCAACGCGAAGAACCUUACCAGGACUUGACAUCCCGUGACCGUCUAUGAAAGUAGACUUUGGCUCUUUGAGUCACACGGUGACAGGUGGUGCAUGGCUGUCGUCAGCUCGUGUCGUGAGAUGUUGGGUUAAGUCCCGCAACGAGCGUAACCCUUGUCCUUAGUUGCCAGCGAGUAGUGUCGGGGACUCUAAGGAGACUGCCGGGGGAGCAACCCGGAGGAAGGUGAGGACGACGUCAAGUCAUCAUGCCCCUUAUGUCCUGGGCUACACACGUGCUACAAUGGUCUGUACAGAGGGAGGCGAUACCGCGAGGUUGAGCUAAUCCCAGAAAGCAGAUCUCAGUUCGGAUUGCAGGUUGCAACUCGCUUGCAUGAAGCUGGAGUCGCUAGUAAUCGUGGAUCAGAACGCCACGGUGAAUCCGUUCCCGGGCCUUGUACACACCGCCCGUCACACCACCCGAGUUGGGGGCACCAGAAGUCACUUUUAGUGCCGAAGGUGCGCCUGAUAAGGGGGGUGAAGUCGUAACAAGGUAACCGUA